UUUAAGGUUUUUGGCGUUAGGGUUAAAAUCACUGUCCAAAACCUUUUUAGGAACACGUUUCAGACCUUUUGGAGUUUGUACACCAAAAAAAAAUGUAAAAUGAAAAAAAAAUAUUUGGGGUGUUCGGGCUUCCUGAAGGUAAUAUUAGGUUAUGGGGCUAUGGUAAGGUUUAAGGUUUUUGUUGUUAGGGUUAAAAUCACUGUCCAAAACCUUUGUAGGAACUCUUUUCCAACCUUUUGGAGUCAGUUAGACCAAUAAAAAAUAAAAAAAAUAAAAAAAAUUUAUUUGGGGUGUUCGGGCUUCCUGAAGGUAAUACCCGGGUAUUAGAUUAUGGGGCUAUGGUAAGGUUUAAGGUUUUUGGCGAUAGGGUUAAAAUCACUGUCCAAAACCUUUGUAGGAACUCUUUUCCAACCUUUUUGAGUCAGUUAGACCAAAAAAAAAUUAAAAAUGAAAAAAAAAUAUUUGGGGUGUUUGGGCUUCCUGAAGGUAAUACCCUAAUAUUACGUUAUGGGGCUAUGGUAAGGUUUAAGGUUUUUGGCGAUAGGGUUAAACUAACUGUCCAAAACCUUUUUAGGAACAUGUUUCAGACCUUUUGGAGUUGGUUACACCAAAAAAAAAAGUAAAAUGAAAAAAAAAUAUUUGGGGUGUUCGGGCUUCCUGCAGUUAUUAGGUUAUGGAGCUAUGGUAAGGGUUCAGUUAUUUGGCGUUAGGGUUAAAAUUAUUGUCCAAAACCUUUGUAGGAACUCUUUUCCAACCUUUUGGAGUUAGUUAGACCAAAAAAAAAAAGAAAAAUGAAAAAAAAAUAUUUGGGGUGUUUGGGCUUCCUGAAGGUAAUACCCGGGUAUUAGAUUAUGGGGCUAUGGUAAGGUUUAAGGUUUUUGGCGAUAGGGUUAAAAUCACUGUCCAAAACCUUUGUAGGAACUCUUUUCCAACCUUUUUGAGUCAGUUAGACCAAAAAAAAAUUAAAAAUGAAAAAAAAAUAUUUGGGGUGUUUGGGCUUCCUGAAGGUAAUACCCUAAUAUUACGUUAUGGGGCUAUGGUAAGGUUUAAGGUUUUUGGCAUUUGGGUUAAAAUCACUGUCCAAAACCUUUGUAGGAACUCUUUUCCAAGCUUUUUGAGUUAGUUAGACCAAAAAAAAAAGAAAAAUGAAAUAAAAAAUAUUUGGAUUGCAAAAAUAUAUCAAGGUCCAAAGAUGGUGUGCGCACUUGUCCGUGGUCAUUUACCAUUAUAAUGAAUGGGAGGCGCAGUUUCUACCAAAACACUUGCUGCAGACAAACUUCAUGACCUAUAUGAAAAAAGUCUGGACCAUGAGUGAGGGCACAGCUAGUAUAUAUCCAAAUGGCAAGUUUCUCCUCCUUUCGGUUUUGCAGAGAGAGUGGUGUGUUUGAGCCAUUGAGCGAUGGGCAGGAAAAACUUGACUUUUUCUCCUGCCUUGGGGGGGGCGCUCUUUUGGUGAGAAAAAAAUUACUUCACAAAUGUGUUGAUGGCUGAACAUUGCAUCAUCCUAGAAAACUUGGAUGAGUGGCCAAAACUUCUUUGUCUGCUGUAAAAUCAAAUUGGAUUAAUAUUUUUUCCAGAUUUUUUUUUUGUACAUCUCUUAUUUUACUUCUGCCCAGGGGCGGAUCUACUGGGGUGGCAUGGGGUGGCAGGUGCCACCCUAAAAUUAACCCUUGCCACCCCUGCUGCCACCCCAACCGGCAGCAAUGAACCGGUAGAAAAAUGUAACAGGUACGAGCGCGAAGUUCCGAUGUCCGACGACAGUGAAUGCAGCACGAGAGAGCGCGAGAGCGACACGAGACUUCUUUGGUGGGAGAGGCGCGAACUUACAGUCUAUGGGCUCGAAGCGAGAGAGUGACAGAGACAGAAAAAGGCACGAGGAAAGAGGUAAAAGCCAUUUUCAGGCAUGAAAAUCUCUCACCUUUCGGCGAAAUUCGCCGUUUAGAAGUCAAAAAAGGUGACUUACAUGAAUCGUGUAGAUCCGAGGAGAUUUUUUUUUUUUUUUUUUGGGGGGGGGGUCGGGGUCGGGGUCGGGAGAUUUAUUUAUUUAUUUUUUAAUUAUCAAGUGAUUGACUUAAUACGUAAACUGAACACUUCAGAAAUCGGCCCUUUAAAUGACACUUUGACGGUCAGCAAAUCCUCCUGGCUGCCUCGCUGACGAGAACCAAUCAUGCGCACACUCUUCAUGUGUACUUGGAGUACUUGGAGAGCCUGUGGUAGCAUUGCAAAGCUGCGAGAACGAGAACCAGGACUUAUCCACGCCGGUGUUGUGCCGUAGAAUGCCCCCCUGACGAGAGCGCGGUUGAAAGUACGUAACAAGGCGAAAUAAUCGAAGUUUUCCUUACCGUUGGACGGAUUCAAAAGCGUGUGCCUUUAAUGAUUUCAUUCAGGUUAUACAGAUUAGCCGAAAACAAUAGCCCUCUGAUUCAGAAUAUUUGCUGUCCCGAAAGUUUAUUGUUCUUUACCUUGACUCACCUAUUUUUUCAGAGUUUUUUUUUUCGCCAAAUACGCCCAACUGAAUAAAACAUAAACUUAUAAAAACUUGAAACCUCUCUGUGAAACGUGCUUGUAAAUUGUGGUAAACAUCCAUGGGCUUUGUGUUCUGUUUGUGCCUGUGUGCGUGUUGCGGUGAACAGCUGUAUGAUCAGCUGAUGCACGUACCCGCGACUGCGCCCUGUGAAACCCCAUUCAAAAACUAAAGUAUUUUUAUUAUUAGCACUUCAUAGACCACAUCCCCGCCCAUCUACACCUAGGUGACCACAAUAUAUAUUUUUUAGAUAAUUCGGCACUAGUUCGGCCUGUCAAAUCAUCUGAUCAAAGCCAGUUUAUUUACUUUUAUCCACAGCGGAGAGCGCGCCCGGCGCUUAUUUUCUUUUUUGAUGAGCGCCCGGCUCAUCAGCUGGCCGAGUACGCGUCACGAUGAUGCGACUACUCGAGGACCUCGAGUUACGUGACGUUUGCUUUGUUUAGUGCAGUUCAGGCGACGUCUUAGUUAUUUGUACACGUUUGCAUCAUAGCACUCUUCUAAAGCCGCUACAAAAUAAACCCAACAGUUUAAAAACAGUAAAAAAUAGUAGACCUUCUGAGUACCUUAUAUGUCAAAUUCAAGAAAUCAUUUGGUAAGUGAAAGUACAUAUGGGUUAAGAAGUUAGAGGGGGCACUUUUAGAUAUUAAUGUUCAGUUUAUCUAGCAAGUUUGCAGCUCAUAUUAAUUUUAAUAUACCCAUUCCACAGAAAACAAGUCACAGAGAGCAGGGCAAACAUGUUCAAGAGAUUAAAACAGAAUACCCUGGAUGCAUUUCUGGCAAAGAAAAAGAAAGAAAUUGACAAAGAGGAAGAUAGUAAACAUGAAACCAAGGAGGAUGGAAGAGAGAAUAGGGAAAGUUAGGUGUAGCAGAGAGAGGAGAGUCAUUCAGAGAUGGAAGGGGAGCAGAGGCACACGGAGGAGGAUGGAAUAAAAAAAAAAUUUAAAAUAAAUAAAAUAUAUUUAAACAAUAAACAUCUUGUGUGACUUGUAGCCUAAAAAAUUAUAAUUAAAAAAAACAUUUUAAAAAAUUUAAGCGCGCGCUUUGCGCGCGCAUCAUGGACCUCACCUAUUCCAAAAUCCUGGCUACGGCCCUGGUUUUGAGCCAUCUAAAAUAGCAAAAGCAGGCAUCUGCAAAAAAGCAAGCAGGUGUGACUUGGAGUGUUUUUGGCGCCUCCUGCAGAUCACUGAAACACAAUGUGGGUGAACAGAGCUCAAUAUUUUGUUGGGUUGUACAGUGUGCCGGAACGUAUUUCCUCCGCACCCUUCUCACCUUUUCAACCCCUGACCCAUUUUCAUGCUUGCAUAUGAGAAAGAAAGGUUUAAAAUGUGACACUGGUCUAAAUCCAUGGAGCUGCAAUGGGUUGUUGUUUUUAUUUUUCCAUGCCUCAUUGUAUUAAUCUUACUGGUGUGAGAAUCCUAAUAAAAGAAAGAUUGUAUUGGACGAAGAAUGUCUGUCAUGUUUGUAAAUGGCAGCCAUGCCUUUUUGUAUCGAUCAAACUCAGUAUAUAUCUGCCAUAUGUUGCCACCCCUCAAAAAUUCCUGCCCCCCUCUUGCCACCCCAUGAAUAUUUUUCUAGAUCCGCCCCUGCUUCUGCCCUGUUCAAAACUAGCAAAUGUUUCAUUGAAGAUAUUUUUUUUAACCCUUUAAGAGCCUUUUAACUUUUUCUGUAGUAUCAGAUUUAAUAGACAACUCCUUUGGCGCCACUCAGUGGCCAUAACGAUUUGUAAUCAUGUGGAUUUUUGGGUUAUUUUUGGCGCCCCCUACAACGUAAACCGUGGGGUUCAGCGUCAUGAUUUGUACAACUUUGAAUGGCCAUGGGAUGUAGAUUGGCCUGAGCAAAUUUGGUGUCGGUGGGACAAAAGCCUUAGGAGUUAGCCACAUUCCAAUGUGUGUGAAUCGGAAAAAAAUGCAAAAUAGUCCUUUAACCGUACAUUUUACAGAUACGUGCGCUUUGACUUUUUCGUAGAACUUAUUGAGAUACACGUGAUUGUCAAAUUUUGUGUCAAUAUGACAAAGCGCACAGGCGUGACACUCAACAAUGUGUAUUUUCACCUUAGGGGACAAGAAAAAAUUGCCUUUUUUCUCCUGCCAUGGGGGGGCGCUCUUUUGGGGAGAAAAAAUUCCUUCAAAAAUGUGUUGAUGGCUGGACAUUGCAUCAUCCUAGAAAACUUGGAGGCCAGUGAGGACAAAAAUAAAAAGUUAUAAGACUUUUAAGAAUGUGGAUUUUUGGGUUAUCUUUGGCGCCCGCUAGAACCUAAACUGUGGGGUGCAGCGUCAUGAUUUGUACAACUUUGAAUGGCCAUGGGGAGUAGAUUGGCCUGAGCAAAUUUGGUGCCGGUGGAACGAAGGCCUUCGGAGGAGUUAGCCACAUUCCAAUGUGUGCGGAUCGGCAAAAAAUGCAAAAUAGCCCUUUAACCGUACAUUUCACAGAUACGCCUACACUGACUUUUUUGUAGACCUUAUUGAGAUACACGUGUGUGUCAAUUUUUGUGUCAAUAUGACAAAGCGUACAGGCGUGACACUCGAUAGUGUGAAUUUUCACCUUAGGGGGCGCUUUGGAGCCAUUUUGCAAAUAAUUUUUUCAGCGACUUCAGAAUAUCGAAUUUUUUACCAGGCCCGGUCGUCCUGCCAAAUUUCAUGAGUUUUCGCCAGUGGGAAGUGGGCCAUUUUCCCCUUCAAAGGGGAGGAAAAAUAAGAAAAAGAAAGAAAGAAAGAAAGAAAGAAAGACUAGGGCCCCGUUGGGGCACUGGCGGGCCCGAGCCGUGUCGCGCCACCCCCAGCGCGACCGCCUACCCCUCCCGAUCGCGUCACACUCAAGGUCCAAAGAUGGUGUGCGCACUUGUCUGUGGUCAUUUACCAUUAUAAUGAAUGGGAGGCGCAGUUUCUACCAAAACGCUCGCUGCAGACAAACUCCAUGUCCUUUUUGAAAAAAGUCUGGACCAUGAGUGAGGGCACAAACACAGCUAGUAUAUAUCCAAAUGGCAAGUUGCUCCUCCUUUCGGUUUUGCAGAGAGAGCGAUGCGUUUGAGCCAUUGAGCGAUGGGCAGGAAAAACUUGACUUUUUCUCCUGCCAUGGGGGGCGCUCUUUUGGCGUGUAAAAAUUCCUUCACAAAUGUGUUGAUGGCUGGACAUUGCAUCAUCCUAGAGAACUUGGAGGCCAGUGAGGACAAAAAUAAAAAGUUAUAAGACUUUUAAGACUGUGGAUUUUUGGGUUAUCUUUGGCGCCCCCUAGAACGUAAACCGUGGGGUGCAGCAUCAUGAUUUGUACAACUUUUAAUGGCCAUGGGGUGUAGAUUGGCCUGAGCAAAUGUGGUGCCGUUGGAACGAAAGCCUUCGGAGGAGUUAGCGAAAUUCCAAUGUGUGCGGAUCGGCAAAAAAUGCGAAAUAACCCUUUAACCGUACAUUUGACAGAUACGCCCGCACUGACUUUUUUGUAGAUCUUAUUGAGAUACAUGUGUGUGUCAAAUUUUGUGUCAUUUUGACAAAGCGUAAAGGCGUGACAGUCAACAAUGUGUAUUUUCGCCUUAGGAGACAAGAAAAAAUGGACUUUUUUCUCCUGCCAUGGGGGGCGCUCUUUUGGCGAGUAAAAAUUCCUUCACAAAUGUGUUGAUGGCUGGACAUUGCAUCAUCCUAGAGAACUUGGAGGCCAGUGAGGACAAAAAUAAAAAGUUAUAAGACUUUUAAGACUGUGGAUAUUUGGGUUAUCUUUGGCGCCCCCUAGAACGUAAACCGUGGGGUGCAGCGGCAUGAUUUUUACAACUUUGAAUGGCCAUGGGGUGUAGAUUGGCCUGAGCAAAUUUGGUGUCAGUGGGACGAAAGCCUUAGGAGGAGUUAGCCACAUUCCAAUGUGUGCGAAUCGGCAAAAAAUGCAAAAUAGCCCUUUAGCCGUACAUUUUACAGAUACGUGCGCUUUGACUUUUUCGUAGAACUUAUUGAGAUACACGUGAUUGUCAAAUUUUGUGUCAAUAUGACAAAGCAUACAGGCGUGACACUCAACAAUGUGUAUUUUCACCUUAGGGGACAAGAAAAAAUUGGACCUUUUUCUCCUGCCAUUGGGGGGCGCUCUUUUGGGGAGUAAAAAUUCCUUCAAAAUGUGUUGAUGGCUGGACAUUGCAUCAUCCUAGAAAACUUGGAGGCCAGUGAGGACAAAAAUAAAAAGUUAUAAGACUUUUAAGAAUGUGGAUUUUUGGGUUAUCUUUGGCGCCCCCUAGAACCUAAACCGUGGGGUGCAGCGUCAUGAUUUGUACAACUUUUAAUGGCCAUGGGGGUAGAUUGGCCUGAGCAAAUGUGGUGCCGGUGGAACGAAGGCCUUCGGAGGAGUUAGCCACAUUCCAAUGUGUGCGGAUCGGCAAAAAAUGCAAAAUAGCCCAUUAACCGUACAUUUGACAGAUACGCCCGCACUGACUUUUUUGUAGAUCUUAUUGAGAUACAUGUGUGUGUCAAUUUUUGUGUCAAUAUGACAAAGCGUAAAGGCGUGACAGUCAAUAGUGUGAAUUUUCACCUUAGGGGGCGCUAUGGAGCCAUUUUGCAAUUUAUUGUUUGGGCGACUUCAGAAUAUCGAAUUUUUCACCAGGCCCGGUCGUCCUGCCAAAUUUCAUGAGUUUUCGCCAGUGGGAAGUGGGCCAUUUUCCAGUUUAAAGCGGAGGAAAAAUAAUAACGAAAGAAGGAAACAUGCAGGAACAAGAGGGCUCUCGCAGCUGCUUAGCAGCUACGCUCGGGCCCUAACUAGGGCCCCGUUGGGGCACUGGCGGGCCCGAGCCGUGUCGCGCACCCCCCCCCCAACGCGAUCGCCUCCCCGUCCCAUUCGCGUCCUCUGGCCAUCGCCCUCUCUGGUAAGGCCCAUCACUGCAAAGACCCUUUUCCUUCAUCGGCGUUUGCUGUUCUUCCUGCCAUUACGUGUUGCUUUCACUUACACUUGCCACAGCCAGCCUCAUGAGUGCCUGGCCUGGUUUGACCUUUGCUCACCAUGAUUGUGUGACCUUGGUAUCGGCUACUUGGGAAGUUCCACCGUCGUGGCAAAGCUUUGUUUGCGUGCUGUGCUCAACCACCUAUUUUCUAUGGAUGUGUAAGUAAACCACUUUCUUUUCUUACACAAUGACACACUCAUCUUUUAGGGAGAAAAAUUCCUUCACAAAUGUGUUGAUGGCUGGACAUUGAAUCAUCCUAGAAAACUUGGAGGCCAGUGAGGACAAAAAUAAAAAGUUAGAAGACUUUUAAGCAUGUGGAUAUUUGGGUCAUCUUUGGCGCCCCCUAGAACGUAAACCGUGGGGUGCAGCAUCACGAUUUGUACAAUUUUGAAUGGCCAUGGGGUGUAGAUUGGCCUGAGCAAAUUUGGUGUCGGUGGGACGAAAGCCUUAGGAGGAGUUAGCCACAUUCCAAUGUGUGCGAAUCGGCAAAAAAUGUGAAAUAGCCCUUUAACCGUACAUUUUACAGAUACAUGCGCAUUGACUUUUUCGUAGAUCUUAUUGAGAUACAUGUGUGUGUCAAAUUUUGUGUCAAUAUGACAAAGUGUAUAGGCGUGACACUCAACAAUGUGUAUUUUCACCUUAGGGGACAAGAAAAAAUGGACUUUUUUCUCCUGCCAUGGGGGGACGCUCUUUUGGGGAGUAAAAAUUCCUUCUCAAAUGUGUUGAUGGCUGAACAUUGCAUUAUCCUAGAAAACUUGGAGGCCAGUGAGGACUAAAAUAAAAAGUUAUAAGACUUUUAAGAAUGUGGAUUUUUGGGUUUUUUUGGCGCCCCCUAGAACUAAAACCGUAGGGUGCAGCGUCAUGAUUUGUACAACUUUUAAUGGCCAUGGGGUGUAGAUUGGCCUGAGCAAAUUUGGUGCCGGUGGAAUGAAAGCCUUCAGAGGAGUUAGCCACAUUCCAAUGUCCCUUUUGGAGUUAGUUACACCAGAAAAAAAAGUAAAAUGAAAAAGAAAUAUUUGGGGUGUUCGGGCUUCCUGAAGGUAAUACCCGGGUAUUAGGUUAUGGGGCUAUGGUAAGUUUUAAGGUUUUUGGCGUUAGGGUUAAAAUCACUUUCCAAAACCUUUGUAGAAACUGUUUACCAACCUUUUGGAGUUAGUUAGACCAAAAAAAUGAAAAAUGAAAAAAAAAUAUUUGGGGUGUUUGGGCUUCAUGAAGGUAAUACAUGGGUAUUAGGUUAUGGAGCUUUGGAAAGGUUUAAGGUUUUUGGCGUUAGGGUUAAAAUCAAUGUCCAAAACCUUUGUAGGAACUCUUUUCCAACCUUAUGGAGUUAGUUAGACCAAACAAAAAAAGAAAAAUGAAAUAAAAAAUAUUUGGGGUGUUCAGGCUUCCUGAAGGUAAUACCCGGGUAUUACGUUAUGGGGCUAGGGUAAGGUUUAAGGUUUUUGGUGUUAGGAUUAAAAUCAAUGUCCAAAACCUUUUUAGGAAAAUGUUUCAGACCUUUUGGAGUUAGUUACACCAAAAAAAAAUGUAAAAUGAAAAAGAAAUAUUUGGGGUGUUCGGGCUUCCUGAAGGUAAUACAUGGGUAUUUGGUUAAGGGGUUAUGGUAAGGUUUAAGGUUUUUGGCGUUAGGGUUAUAAUCACUGUCCAAAACCUUUGUUGGAACUGUUUUCCAACCUUUUGGAGUUAGUUAGACCAAAAAAAUGAAAAAUGAAAAAAAAAAAAUAUUUGGGGUGUUUGGGCUUCCUGAAGGUUAUACCCGGGUAUUAGGUUAUGGGGCUUAGGAAACAUUUAAGGUUUUUGGCGUUAGGGUUAAAAUCACUGUCCAAAACCUUUGUAGGAACUCUUUUGCAAUCUUUUGGAGUUAGUUAAACCAAAAAAAUGACGAAAUGAAAAAAAAAUAUUUGGGGUGUUCGGGCUUCCUGAAGGUAAUACCUGGGUAUUAGGUUAUGGGGCUUAGGAAAGGUUUAAUGUUUUUGGCGUUAGGGUUAAAAUCACUGUCCAAAACAUUUGU